CAGCGAUUCCUGCCCCGGUGAAGCCCAUGGCGCCCAGCACCACGGGCACAGCCCCCACGGCCAGGGCUGUUGGGGGAGAAGGACCUGGUUCAGAGCAUGGGCCCAGAG